rnacentral:rRNA from 1 species
GAUGAACGCUGGCGGCGUGCUUAACACAUGCAAGUCGAACGGUGAACGAGGGAGCUUGCUCCCUCCGGAUCAGUGGCGAACGGGUGAGUAACGCGUGAGCAAUCUGCCCUGGACUCUGGGAUAAGCGUUGGAAACGACGUCUAAUACCGGAUACGAGGCGUGGGGGCAUCCCCAACGCCUGGAAAGAACUUCGGUCCAGGAUGAGCUCGCGGCCUAUCAGGUAGUUGGUGAGGUAAUGGCUCACCAAGCCUACGACGGGUAGCCGGCCUGAGAGGGGGACCGGCGACACUGGGACUGAGACACGGCCCAGGCUCCGACGGGAGGCAGCAGUGGGGAAUAUUGCACAAUGGGCGAAAGCCUGAUGCAGCAACGCCGCGUGAGGGACGACGGCCUUCGGGUUGUAAACCUCUUUUAGCAGGGAAGAAGCGAAAGUGACGGUACCUGCAGAAAAAGCACCGGCUAACUACGUGCCAGCAGCCGCCGUAAUAC